AUCACUAUAGCUCAUCUGGUAGAGCGGCUGACUCAUAAUCAGUAGGUAAUUGGUUCGAUUCCAGUUAGUG
rnacentral:tRNA from 1 species